ensembl:lncRNA
UGUUGCUAGCAUGAUUAGCAAGUGACUAGCAUGUUUUUAGCAUGAUUAUCGAUUGACUAGCAUGUCGCUAGCAUGUUUCUAGCAUGAUUAACAAGUGACUAGCAUGUCACUAGCAUGUUUUUAGCAUGAUUAGCUAUGACUAGCAUGUCGCUAGCAUGUUUAUAGCAUGAUUAACAAGUGACUAGCAUGUCACUAGCAUGUUUUUAGCAUGAUUAGUGAGUGACUAGCAUGUCGCUAGCAUGUUUCUAGCAUGAUUAGCAAGUGACAAGCAUGUUUUUAGCAUGAUUAGCAAGUUACUAGCAUGUCGCUAGCAUGUUUCUAGCAUGAUUAGCAAGUGACUAGCAUGUCACUAGCAUGAUUAGCGAGUGACUAGCAUGUCGCUAGCAUGUUUCUAGCAUGAUUAGCAAGUGAUUAGCAUGUCGCUAGCAUGUUUCUAGCAUGAUUAGCAAGUGACUAGCAUGUCGCUAGCAUGUUUCUAUGAUAAUCUAGCUAAAACCAGUUGAUUCAGUAAAGAAAACCAGCUAAAACCAGCUAAAACCAGCUAAGACCAGCUAAGACCAGCGUGACAGUGGCCAAAACUACUUUAAAACCAUGUUAAAAGCAUGUUAAAAGCAUGUUUCUAACCUGAUUAUCAAGUUACUAACAUGUUGUUAACAUGUUUCUAUGAUAAUCUAGCUAAAACCAGUUGAUUCACUAAAAACCAGCUAAGACCAGCUAAGACCAGC